GUCAUUUAAUUGAUGACCAGUAUGAAUGGUUAAACGAAUUUUCCACUGUCUCGAAAGUAAAUCUAAUGAAAUUGUAAUUAUAGUGAAGAUACUAUAAAAUAAUUGUAAGACGAAAAGACCCUAUAGAGCUUAACUAGAGUCAUAUUGAUUUUAAAUUUGAUUCAAAAAUAAUUUAAUAUGAGAGCUAGUUUGGUUGGGGCGACCAUCUUUUAUAAAUAACAAAGAUAAACAAAGGUUUCAUAUUUUUAAUAAACUUUAUUGUUUAAUUAAUAAAUUUAACAAUUACUAAUGUAGGUAAAAAUGACCCGUUUGUUUUAUCAAAUAAAAACAACGAUCAAUAAAUAAAAGCUACCUUAGGGAUAACAGCGUUAUCUUGAAA
rnacentral:rRNA from 1 species